rnacentral:rRNA from 1 species
GGUGAGUAACACGUGGAUAACCUACCUAUAAGACUGGGAUAACUUCGGGAAAUCGGAGCUAAUACCGGAUAAUAUUUUGAACCGCACGAUUCAAAAGUGAAAGACGGUCUUGCUGUCACUUAUAGAUGGAUCCGCGCUGCAUUAGCUAGUUGGUAAGGUAACGGCUUACCAAGGCAACGAUGCAUAGCCGACCUGAGAGGGUGAUCGGCCACACUGGAACUGAGACACGGUCCAG